UACGGAGGGUGCAAGCGUUGCUCGGAAUUAUUGGGCGUAAAGGGUAGGUAGGUGGUCUUAUUUGUCUGGGGUGAAAGCCUUGAGCUUAACUCAAGAAGUGCCCCAGAAACGGUAAGACUAGAGUCCUGGAGAGGGUCGUGGAAUUCCCGGUGUAGCGGUGAAAUGCGUAGAGAUCGGGAGGAACACCAGAGGCGAAAGCGGCGACCUGGACAGGUACUGACACUCAACUACGAAAGCGUGGGGAGCAAACAGG
rnacentral:rRNA from 1 species